rnacentral:rRNA from 1 species
UAACACGUAAACAACCUGCCUUCAGGAUGGGGACAACAGACGGAAACGACUGCUAAUACCGAAUAAGUUCCAAGGGCCGCAUGGCCCAUGGAGGAAAAGGUGGCCUCUACCUGUAAGCUAUCGCCUGAAGAGGGGUUUGCGUCUGAUUAGCUGGUUGGAGGGGUAACGGCCCACCAAGGCGACGAUCAGUAGCCGGUCUGAGAGGAUGAACGGCCACACUGGAACUGAGACACGGUCCAG